GAUGAAGAACGUAGCGAAAUGCGAUACGUAAUGUGAAUUGCAGAAUUCAGUGAAUCAUCGAAUCUUUGAACGCAUAUUGCGCUCUUUGGUAUUCCGAAGAGCAUGCUUGUUUGAGUAUCAGUAAACACCUCAAAGUCUUUUUUUCUCGAAGAAAAGACUUUGGACUUGAGCAGUCCCAACUCUUCUUUUUUAGAAGAGGCGGGUUGCUUGAAAUGCAGGUGCAGCUGGACAUUCUCCUGAACUAAAAGCAUAUUCAUUUAGUCCCGUCAAACGGAUUAUUACUUUUGCUGCAGCUAACAUAAAGGGAGUUUGACCAUUUUGGCUGACUGAUGCAGGAAUUUCACAAGAGUCUUCAAAACGCCCUUGUUAAACUCGAUCUCAAAUCAAGUAAGACUACCCGCUGAACUUAAGCAUAUCAAUAAGCGGAGGA
rnacentral:misc_RNA from 1 species